AUUGAACGCUGGCGGCAUGCCUUACACAUGCAAGUCGAACGGCAGCACGGGUGCUUGCACCUGGUGGCGAGUGGCGAACGGGUGAGUAAUACAUCGGAACGUACCUUAUCGUGGGGGAUAACGCAGCGAAAGCUGUGCUAAUACCGCAUACGCCCUGAGGGGGAAAGCGGGGGAUCGCAAGACCUCGCGCGAUUAGAGCGGCCGAUGCCUGAUUAGCUUGUUGGUGGGGUAAAAGCCCACCAAGGCGACGAUCAGUAGCUGGUCUGAGAGGACGAUCAGCCACACGGGGAAUGGGACACGGCCCAGACUCCUACGGGAGGCAGCAGUGGGGAAUUUUGGACAAUGGGGGCAACCCUGAUCCAGCAAUGCCGCGUGAGUGAAGAAGGCCUUCGGGUUGUAAAGCUCUUUUGUCAGGGAAGAAACACCGGCUCUAACACAGUCUGGGAAUGACGGUACCUGAAGAAUAAGCACCGGCUAACUACGUGCCAGCAGCCGCCGUAAAAC
rnacentral:rRNA from 1 species